AAAUCCGGUUCACUUUAACACUGAGGCGUGACGACGAGGCACUACGGUGCUGAAGCAACAAAUGCCCUGCUUCCAGGAAAAGCCUCUAAGCAUCAGGUAACAUCAAAUCGUACCCCAAACCGACACAGGUGGUCAGGUAGAGAAUACCAAGGCGCUUGAGAGAACUCGGGUGAAGGAACUAGGCAAAAUGGUGCCGUAACUUCGGGAGAAGGCACGCUGACACGUAGGUGAAGUGAUUUACUCAUGGAGCUGAAGUCAGUCGAAGAUACCAGCUGGCUGCAACUGUUUAUUAAAAACACAGCACUGUGCAAACACGAAAGUGGACGUAUACGGUGUGACGCCUGCCCGGUGCCGGAAGGUUAAUUGAUGGGGUCAGCGCAAGCGAAGCUCCUGAUCGAAGCCCCGGUAAACGGCGGCCGUAACUAUAACGGUCCUAAGGUAGCGAAAUUCCUUGUCGGGUAAGUUCCGACCUGCACGAAUGGCGUAAUGAUGGCCAGGCUGUCUCCACCCGAGACUCAGUGAAAUUGAACUCGCUGUGAAGAUGCAGUGUACCCGCGGCAAGACGGAAAGACCCCGUGAACCUUUACUAUAGCUUGACACUGAACAUUGAGCCUUGAUGUGUAGGAUAGGUGGGAGGCUUUGAAGUGUGGACGCCAGUCUGCAUGGAGCCGACCUUGAAAUACCACCCUUUAAUGUUUGAUGUUCUAACGUGGACCCGUUACCCGGGUUGCGGACAGUGUCUGGUGGGUAGUUUGACUGGGGCGGUCUCCUCCUAAAGAGUAACGGAGGAGCACGAAGGUUGGCUAAUCCUGGUCGGACAUCAGGAGGUUAGUGCAAUGGCAUAAGCCAGCUUGACUGCGAGCGUGACGGCGCGAGCAGGUGCGAAAGCAGGUCAUAGUGAUCCGGUGGUUCUGAAUGGAAGGGCCAUCGCUCAACGGAUAAAAGGUACUCCGGGGAUAACAGGCUGAUACCGCCCAAGAGUUCAUAUCGACGGCGGUGUUUGGCACCUCGAUGUCGGCUCAUCACAUCCUGGGGCUGAAGUAGGUCCCAAGGGUAUGGCUGUUCGCCAUUUAAAGUGGUACGCGAGCUGGGUUUAGAACGUCGUGAGACAGUUCGGUCCCUAUCUGCCGUGGGCGCUGGAGAACUGAGGGGGGCUGCUCCUAGUACGAGAGGACCGGAGUGGACGCAUCACUGGUGUUCGGGUUGUCAUGCCAAUGGCACUGCCCGGUAGCUAAAUGCGGAAGAGAUAAGUGCUGAAAGCAUCUAAGCACGAAACUUGCCCCGAGAUGAGUUCUCCCUGAGACUUAAAGUCUCCUGAAGGAACGUUGAAGACGACGACGUUGAUAGGCCGGGUGUGUAAGCGCAGCGA
rnacentral:rRNA from 1 species